GGUUUUUCUUAGCCUAAAGCUAAAUUUAGAUGAAGAAUUCUGAAAUGUGGUAAUUUUUGCAUAGCUAUUUAUAAUGCACUUUUAAAUAGAUAAUUAAAAGAUAACUUUAAAAUAUGAAUCUAAUGGAAGAAUUUGGUAGAUAAUUUGGUCCAAUGAUGUAGUUACAUCAAAGAAAACUCAGAACCCUUUCAGCCUGAAUGAGAGAAUAUUAUUAUUUUUACCUACUUCCCCCUGAGGCAAUCAGGAACUCCAUACCUUCUGCUAUGCAGAAAUUGGCAUGAUCUGGCUUCUGGUCUUGUCUGUGGCAGCCACAUUUGUACAAGGAUGACACUUAGGUACCUAACCUAUCUAAACUCCUUUGGAUAACACUUGUGUUAGAAUUGUUUGGUGCCAAGUACCUGAAAGCCACUCCAGCAAACUUAAGAUCUGAGAGGAGGUGGAUAUAGAAGUCCCUCAUGGAACCAAGGGAACAUAACUCUUAGUAGUUCUGGUAAGAAGAGCAUCAGACAGAAGCUCUGCCCUGUGAAGUUGCCAGCACGUGAGAUGAGAAGGCAGCGCUGAGCCUGGCACAGCAGGCUGCUAGACAGCCCCUCUACAGCUGUCCCAGGCCCUGUGGUCAGUGCGAAGACCAUCAAUUGUGCCACUCUGCUCUGCUGUUGCACUGCAGCUCCUAAGUUGACAGAGACCUGGCCACUGGCUUCUGUGAUGCUGGCCCCUUCUUUCAUUGCUCUAUGUUGAAAUCGGGGGCUGCUCCUGCUUGAGGCCUCCUUUGUUACAAAUCUACUUGUUUCCCAGGUAUAAUCUCAUCUCCUCAAGAAGACGAUCAACUCCUCAGGGUGGUCUCCUGUGAGAAGAACAUACCCCAGGUAGCCUCUUCUUUGAGAAGCACAAGGAAACACGUGGUGGUGGAACUGAACACAACCCACAGCCUGGAGCUAAACCCAACCUAAGCCAGCCAAGCUCUUCCAAGAUCACCCAAACUCAAGUUGACCUGUAGAUCCAUGGGCAAGGAAAGAAAUGCCUGCUGUUUUAAGAUCUCAAGUUUUAGGUUGAUUUGUUAUGCAGCAUUAUUGCAGUAAAAAUGAACUAAUACACUACCUAAUC
rnacentral:lncRNA from 10 species